UACGAAGGGGGCUAGCGUUGCUCGGAAUCUCUGGGCGUAAAGCGCACGUAGGCGGACUCUUAAGUCGGUGGUGAAAUCCUGGAGCUCAACUCCAGAACUGCCUUCGAUACUGAGAGUCUCGAGUCCGGGAGAGGUGAGUGGAACUGCGAGUGUAGAGGUGAAAUUCGUAGAUAUUCGCAAGAACACCAGUGGCGAAGGCGGCUCACUGGCCCGGUACUGACGCUGAGGUGCGAAAGCGUGGGGAGCAAACAGG
rnacentral:rRNA from 1 species